rnacentral:rRNA from 13 species
ACCUGGUUGAUUCUGCCAGAAGUCAUACGCUCGUCUCAAAGAUUAAGCCAUGCAUGUCUAAGUAUAAGUAUUAAUACUUCGAAGCUGCGAAUGGCUCAUUAUAUCAGUUAUAGUUUAUUUGAUAAUCCCUUACUACUCGGAUACCUGUAGUAAUUCUAGAGCUAAUACGUGCAUCAAUAUCCAACUCUCGGGAAGGAUAGUAUUUAUUAGAUAUAAACCAACCCACCUCGGUGGCGUACUGGUGAUUCAUAAUAACUUUGCGAAUCGCAUGGCUCUGCCGGCGAUGGAUCAUUCAAGUUUCUGCCCUAUCAGCUCUGAUGGUAGAGUAUUGGUCUACCAUGGCGAUAACGGGUAACGGGAGAUUAGGGUUUGAUUCCGGAGAGGGGGCCUGAGAGAUGGCCACCACAUCCAAGGAAGGCAGCAGGCGCGUAAAUUACCCAAUUCUGACACAGAGAGGUAGUGACAAUAAAUAACAAUGCCGGGCCUCUUUCGAGGUCUGGCAAUUGGAAUGAGAACAAUUUAAAUCCCUUAUCGAGGAUCAAUUGGAGGGCAAGUCUGGUGCCAGCAGCCGCGGUAAUUCCAGCUCCAAUAGCGUAUAUUUUAGUUGUUGCAGUUAAAAAGCUCGUAGUCGAAUUUCUGGUGGGAGAGUGCGGUCCGACCUUUAAGGUGGGUACUUGCUCUCUCCGGCCAUCCUUGGGAGGAGCCUGUCUGGCAUUGAGUUGUCGGGCUGGGGAUUCCCAUCAUUUACUGUGAGUUAAUUGGAGUGUUCAAAGCAGACUUAUGUCGUUGAACAUAUUAGCAUGGAAUAAUAAGAUAGGACCACAGUGCUAUUUUGUUGGUUUGCGCGCCGUGGUAAUGAUGAAUAGGGACAGUUGUGGGUAUUCGUAUUCAGUUGUAAGAGGUGAAAUUCUUAGAUUAACGGAAGACGAACUACUGCGAAAGCAUUUACCAGGGAUGUUUUCAUUGAUCAAGAACGAAAGUGUGGGGAUCGAAGAUGAUUAGAUACCGUCGUAGUCUACACCAUAAACUAUGCCGACUCAGGAUGGGCGGGUGACAUUUGUCCUCGUCUGCACUGUAUGAGAAAUCAAAGUCUUUGGGUUCCGGGGGGAGUAUGGUCGCAAGGCUGAAACUUAAAGAAAUUGACGGAAGGGCACCACCAGGAGUGGAACCUGCGGCUUAAUUUGACCCAACACGGGAAAACUUAUCAGGUCCAGACAUAGUUAGGAUUGACAGAUUGAGAGCUCUUUCUUGAUUCUAUGGGUGGUGGUGCAUGGCCGUUCUUAGUUGGUGGAGUGAUUUGUCUGGUUAAUUCCGUUAACGAACGAGACCUCAGCCUGCUAAAUAAUAGCGUUAAUGAUCUUUCAUUGGCGGCUGUUUCUUAGAGGGACAUAAAGUAUCAAACUUUAGGAAGAUUGAGGCAAUAACAGGUCUGUGAUGCCCUUAGAUGUUCUGAACCGCACGCGUGUUACACUGAUGCAUUCAACGAGCUUAUAACCUUGGCCGAGAGGCCUGGGCAAUCUUGUAAUGUGCAUCGUGAUAGGGAUCGAUUAUUGCAACUUUUAAUCGUGAACGAGGAAUUCCUAGUAAACGCAGAUCAUCAAUCUGCAUUGAUUACGUCCCUGCCCUUUGUACACACCGCCCGUCGCACCUACCGAUUGAGUGUUCCGGUGAGGCCUCGGGAUUGUAGUUAGCUUCCUUUAUUGGAAACUCACCGCGAGAACUUGUCCGAACCUUAUCACUUAGAGGAAGGUGAAGUCGUAACAAGGUUUCCGUAGGUGAACCUGCGGAAGGAUCAUU